UAGAAUUUGUCUCUUUUAGUAUUUUUCCAGUAGGUUUUCUUUAAAUGAAAACCCCU
ensembl:snRNA U7 U7 small nuclear RNA